UGGGGAAUUUUGGACAAUGGGCGAAAGCCUGAUCCAGCAAUGCCGCGUGUGUGAAGAAGGCCUUCGGGUUGUAAAGCACUUUUGUCCGGAAAGAAAUCCUUGGCUCUAAUACAGUCGGGGGAUGACGGUACCGGAAGAAUAAGCACCGGCUAACUACGUGCCAGCAGCCGCGGUAAUACGUAGGGUGCAAGCGUUAAUCGGAAUUACUGGGCGUAAAGCGUGCGCAGGCGGUUUGCUAAGACCGAUGUGAAAUCCCCGGGCUCAACCUGGGAACUGCAUUGGUGACUGGCAGGCUAGAGUAUGGCAGAGGGGGGUAGAAUUCCACGUGUAGCAGUGAAAUGCGUAGAGAUGUGGAGGAAUACCGAUGGCGAAGGCAGCCCCCUGGGCCAAUACUGACGCUCAUGCACGAAAGCGUGGGGAGCAAACAGGAUUAGAUACCCCGGUAGUCCACGCCCUAAACGAUGUCAACUAGUUGUUGGGGAUUCAUUUCCUUAGUAACGUAGCUAACGCGUGAAGUUGACCGCCUGGGGAGUACGGUCGCAAGAUUAAAACUCAAAUGAAUUGACGGGGUCAUAGCUGUUUCCU
rnacentral:rRNA from 1 species